UUCAGGAACACCUCAAGAGUUACAGCAGAAAGAGGCAGGGAGAUUAUCUUGUUCCAUAAAUUGCAGAAAUGAAACCAGAUCAAUAAACAAUCAUCAGGCAAAGACCAAUGGAGGUAACCCUAAUAAAUCUGGCUGUAUGGUUAAUGGCAUACCUACUAUAAUAUAGCAACCAGGCUAAGCGAUAUGCAGUGCCAUGGGGGAAAUUCCAUACCUCAGAGGGAUGACCGUCGACUACCAGUUGACUGCUAUCAAGAUGUGGAAGUAGAGGGAAAGGAGAUGGGGCAGUGGAGAAGCAGCUAAGGUGGGUCUUUCAAGAGACCUGGCCAUGUGCAUGAGAAGUUCCUUCAUUUAUCAAACAAGUGUGUAACACCUACCACAAAUCAGGUGGUGUACUAAGUGCCUUGUCUUUUUACAAAUGUUAACCUAUUUAAUCCU